CCUACGGGUGGCAGCAGUGGGGAAUAUUGCACAAUGGACGAAAGUCUGAUGCAGCAACGCCGCGUGGAGGAUGACACAUUUCGGUGCGUAAACUCCUUUUAUAUGGGAAGAUAAUGACGGUACCAUAUGAAUAAGCACCGGCUAACUCCGUGCCAGCAGCCGCGGUAAUACGGAGGGUGCAAGCGUUACUCGGAAUCACUGGGCGUAAAGAGCGUGUAGGCGGGUAUAUAAGUCAGAAGUGAAAUCCAAUAGCUUAACUAUUGAACUGCUUUUGAAACUGUUUACCUAGAAUGUGGGAGAGGUAGAUGGAAUUUCUGGUGUAGGGGUAAAAUCCGUAGAGAUCAGUAGGAAUACCGAUUGCGAAGGCGAUCUACUGGAACAUUAUUGACGCUGAGACGCGAAAGCGUGGGGAGCAAACAGGAUUAGAUACCCUAGUAGUC
rnacentral:rRNA from 1 species